AUUGAACGCUGGCGGCAGGCCUAACACAUGCAAGUCGAGCGGAUGAAGGGAGCUUGCUCCUGGAUUCAGCGGCGGACGGGUGAGUAAUGCCUAGGAAUCUGCCUGGUAGUGGGGGAUAACGUCCGGAAACGGGCACUAAUACCGCAUACGUCCUGAGGGAGAAAGUGGGGGAUCUUCGGACCUCACGCUAUCAGAUGAGCCUAGGUCGGAUUAGCUAGUUGGUGGGGUAAAGGCCUACCAAGGCGACGAUCCGUAACUGGUCUGAGAGGAUGAUCAGUCACACUGGAACUGAGACACGGUCCAGACUCCUACGGGAGGCAGCAGUGGGGAAUAUUGGACAAUGGGCGAAAGCCUGAUCCAGCCAUGCCGCGUGUGUGAAGAAGGUCUUCGGAUUGUAAAGCACUUUAAGUUGGGAGGAAGGGCAGUAAGUUAAUACCUUGCUGUUUUGACGUUACCAACAGAAUAAGCACCGGCUAACUUCG
rnacentral:rRNA from 1 species